rnacentral:rRNA from 1 species
UACAGAGGGUGCAAGCGUUAAUCGGAAUUACUGGGCGUAAAGCGUGCGUAGACGGUUAUGUAAGUCGGGUGUGAAAGCCCCGGGCUCAACCUGGGAAUUGCAUUCGAGACUGUGUAGCUAGGGUGCGGAAGAGGGAAGCGGAAUUUCCGGUGUAGCGGUGAAAUGCGUAGAUAUCGGAAGGAACAUCAGUGGCGAAAGCGGCUUCCUGGUCCAGCACCGACGUUCAGGCACGAAAGCGUGGGGAGCAAACAGG